AACAACAACAACAACAACAAUCUACUCCUAACACUAACAUAACAACAAGAACCCCUACCUAACUCUAAAAUACAAACAACAACCUACUCCUACCACUAGAACUAAACUAAACACUAACGUCAACAACAAGAACGGGGACGGGGACAGAACGGGGCUCAGAGGGGACUGGGGGCCCGCAGAACUCGGCGCCAGAGGAGGACCAGGUGGUAAGCAGUGCCACCCAG
rnacentral:lncRNA from 1 species